AGAGCAAGAUCCUUUGGUGCUGGCAGGAGGGGGUGUGGGAGUUUCAGUUGGCACACCCAGGGUGCCUUGCGUCAUAGAUUGCAGCUUCUCUUCAAGCACUCUUUGUAUUUCUUUUUGUUCUUGUAUCUGCUCAUUGAAUCGCUGCUCCAUUUGACGAAAUCUUUCUUCCCACUGAAGAUCCAUCUGCCUCAAUGCCUCCUGAU
rnacentral:lncRNA from 1 species